GACGAACGCUGGCGGCGUGCUUAACACAUGCAAGUCGAACGGUAAGGCCCUUCGUGGUUCACGAGUGGCGAACGGGUGAGUAACACGCGGGUAAUCUGCCCUGCACAUCGCGAUAACCCUGGUAAACUGGGGCUAAUACCGCAUAGGCUCACAGGACACAUGUCCUGUGGGGGAAGGCUUUUGUGGUGUGGGAUGGGCUCGCGGCCUAUCAGCUUGUUGGUGGGGUGAUGGCCUACCAAGGCGACGACGGGUAGCCGGCCUGCGAGGGUGGCCGGACACAGUGGGAGUGAGGUCCGGGACAGACUCCGGCGGGAGGAGGCGGUGGGGAAUAUUGAAGAGUGGGAGAAAGCCGGAGGGAGCGACGGCGGGGGGGGAAUGCCGGCGGGCGGGUUGUAACCCUCGUUCGCCAUCGACGAAGGUCCGGGUUUUCUCGGGGUGGCGGUAGGUAGAGAAGAAGCCGCGGAAAUCUACG
rnacentral:rRNA from 1 species